rnacentral:rRNA from 1 species
CAAUAGCGUAUAUUAAAGUUGUUGCAGUUAGAACGCUCGUAGUCGGAUUUCGGGGCGGGUCGACCGGUCUGCCGAUGGGUACGCACUGGCCGACGCGUCCUUUUUGCCGGAGACCGUCCCUACUCUUAACUGAGCGGGGUCGGGAGACGGCACUUUUACUUUGAAAAAAUCAGAGUGUUUCAAGCAGGCAGCUCGCUCUUGCAUGGAUUAGCAUGGGAUAAUGAAAUAGGACUUUGGUGCUAUUUUGUUGGUUUCGAACACCGAAGUAAUGAUGAGAAGGGACAGUCAGGGGCACUCGUAUUCCGCCGAGAGAGGUGAAAUUCUCAGACCAGCGGAAGACGAACCACUGCGAAAGCAUUUGCCAGGGAUGUUUNCACUGA